UGAAUACGAGACGCUAAGGCGUCGAAGUAGUGUAUGUCAUACUUCCAAGAAAAGCUUGCACUGUCAUAGAUAAAAAACGCCUGUACCAUAACCGACACAGGUGGGUAGGUAGAGUAUACUAAGGGGCGCGAGAUAACUCUCUCUAAGGAACUCGGCAAAAUAACUCCGUAACUUCGGAGAAGGAGUGCCUUAUUCGUAAGGUUGCAAUAACAAGAUCCAAGCAACUGUUUAUCAAAAACACAGGUCUCCGCUAAGUCGUAAGACGAUGUAUGGGGGCUGACGCCUGCCCAGUGCCAGAAGGUUAAAGAAGUUGGUUAGCAAUUGCGAAGCUGAUAACUGAAGCCCUGGUGAACGGCGGCCGUAACUAUAACGGUCCUAAGGUAGCGAAAUUCCUUGUCGGGUAAGUUCCGACCCGCACGAAAGGCGUAAUGAUUUGGAUACUGUCUCGGAGAGGGGCUCGGUGAAAUAGACUUGUCUGUGAAGAUGCGGACUACCUGCACCAGGACAGAAAGACCCUAUGAAGCUUUACUGUAACUUGAAAUUGAAAUUGGACUUUAUUCGCGCAGUAUAGGUGGGAGGCGUUGAUUAUAAUCUUGUGGGAUUAUUGGAGCCAUCAGUGAGAUACCACUCUUGUAAUGUUAGAUUUCUAACUUUGAAUCAUUAUCUGGUCAAAGAACAGUUUCAGGCGGGCAGUUUGACUGGGGCGGUCGCCUCCUAAACGGUAACGGAGGCGUACAAAGGUUUCCUCUGAACGGUUAGAAAUCGUAUCUAGAGUGUAAAGGCAUAAGGAAGCUUGACUGUGAGACCUACAAGUCGAGCAGGGACGAAAGUCGGUCUUAGUGAUCUGACGGUACUGAGUGGAAAGGCCGUCACUCAACGGAUAAAAGUUACUCUAAGGAUAACAGGCUGAUCUCCCCCAAGAGUUCACAUCGACGGGGAGGUUUGGCACCUCGAUGUCGGCUCAUCGCAUCCUGGGGCGGUAGUACGUCCCAAGGGUUGGGCUGUUCGCCCAUGAAAGCGGUACGCGAGCUGGGUUCAGAACGUCGUGAGACAGUUCGGUCCAUAUCCGGUGUAGGCGUUAGAAUAUUGAGAGGAGCCUUCUUUAGUACGAGAGGACCGAGAAGGACAUACCUCUGGUGUACCAGUUAUCGUGCCAACGGUAAACGCUGGGUAGCUAUGUAUGGAGUGGAUAACCGCUGAAAGCAUCUAAGUGGGAAGCCCACCUCAAGAUAAGUAUUCUCAUC
rnacentral:rRNA from 1 species